GAAGUAUUUGGUUAAUCUUUGGACAGAAAAUGCAUUUCAGGAGAGAAGCAACAAAAAUAAGACAAAUAGAUGCAAGCGUUCUAUGCCGCCAUACACGGGGACAAAAAGCUUUGCUCGGCUGAGAGAUCAUAUGAAGAAAAAAAAUGGAAAAACACCUUCUCGCUUAGAGCUUUUUCUUGAAUCCAGAAAGAGAAA